UGUCCCGCAGGAACAAGAGCUUCGGACUAGAGCCCACCGGGUCAAGGGCUGUCCCCCUGCAGACAAGCCCUGGUUUUCUCCAACCCCUCCUGUGGAGGGGGCUGGGGACUCUGACGCACUCAGAAAUCCUCAGCUGGAUGGGACAGUCAGUAUGAGGCGUUCCUGUGAAGGUGGAGGCAUGUAAAUGGGAUACUGGAAUCUGCACUGGGCUCAAGUCCACUGGCCAUGGCCAGGUUGAGAAGUGAUGGAGGGUCUGGAGCCCAGGGGACUUGGGUUCUCACAGCGUGUGACAGAAGAGACAGACUGAGAGAGAGCAGGAGAAGGCAUCCCAGCAUGCUGCAAUAUAAUGAGAAGAAACAGGACUUUCCAGGGACUCUCUGUGGUAGCAGGCCUUUAAAAGACAACACUUCAUACUUUUGCCACCAUGACUUCCCACAAUGCCCUGAAACUGUGAGCCUAGACACUUCACAUCUAAGAUUCAUCUGUACAUUCAGAGGGAACAUGGGCAUGCUGAACUAUCUUGAACACAGUGGAUAUUGUGGUCUAUUCGGCAUGGGUUCAGAGUCACUCUGGGUGCGAACAGCCAUGGUCACUUCCUUCUGAAGCCUGCAGCAGGCUCCUGAGCACUGGAAGGGAAUGCUGGCCUGUCUGGAAGGCACAAGGGCAGCUGCCUGAAGAAAGGGAAACUGACCCUUGCUGGGUGUUUAUGGUGCCGGACACAGUCCAGGGGAACUUUCUUGGAAAGGAGUGACUUGGAUAUUCUUGCCCUGAGAUGGCUUUGAGAUCCUGAGCUCUGGAAACAGAACCUGGAACUGGUGCUCAGCCUGGGGCCUGGUUUUAUCCAUUGCUGAGAAAGGUCUUGGGAGGUAGAACAAUGCCAUGCCUUUGCCUUUGCCACUUUGGAUUUUGGGUCAGCCUCGGCAAUCAACCUGAACAAUGACCAACCUCAAGUCUGGUCUGAGGCUAUGAGACUAUCUUCAGUGAACCUCAGUAAUUUCUCAUACAACUGAGCCUUGUAAUUCUAUUCUAGAGAAUACAGUGAGGUAAAGAGACUGGUCAAGCUCUCCAGAAUCAAAAGAACCAUCUGGGGACUGAGGGCAGCUUCCGCCAGGCACAUGCCUCAUUGAGAAAUGCCCCAUAUGAAGAAUAGAGGAAAACACAGCCACUCUCGUUAGCAGUCACUUCCUUGGAAUGCUGCCUGCCCUCUUGCCUACCUUCAGGCCUUUACUCAAAGGCCACUUUCCAGGGAACUCACACAAUGAUUUAUCCACAGAGCCCUGGCUGAGUCAGUCCAAGCUUGCUCCACAGUCUGCCUCCUCUGACCACCACACAGUGGGUCUACAGUUGUCCUGCUCUCCGAUGUCAUCCCCACCAGAAUCAUCUCUUACCCAGAUGUCCAGAGGAUAUUUUUUGAAUGAAUGGGGAAAUGACUGGUCAUUGAAAUGAGACAGAAAAUUCACUCACAUGAGAGCUGGUAACAACCACGUGGCUAAAAUCGACAUAUUCCUUUCAGUGUCUACAGAGACACUUAUCUGAGCACCAACUGAGGUAGCACUAAGAAAUUCUUAAAUAUUGAAUCAUGGGGGACAGUUAAAUAUGCAUUGGUACAUCUGCACAUUUGGAAACUGAUAUUUAUGAAAAUUUUCAUCAAUUUGGGGGAAAAGCUUGUGAUUCGGGGCCAAGGGAAGAUAGCAGAUGCAAAAUUGCAUGCAUGAUGUGAUCUUAACUCUGAGAAAACGAUAUGGCAGUUAGGGGAAUCCCCAACGUGUUACCAACAUAGUGGGGGACCACACAGUAUUUAUAUAAAUGUUUUUUUUCUCUAUCUCCUGCCCCCAUGUUUAACGCUCCUUGGGGGGUAAACACAUAAUAAUCUUAAACCCAUAAAGAUAGUUCUUGAGAUCAGAAAAUUAGUUCUCAGCAAGCUUAACUAAUAAUUUGCAGCAAGCCAAAGGCCACAUCUCUCUACCUUGGCUUUAACAGCUCCUUCUUCAAUGGCAGAUCUGCCUCUUCCUUUUGGUUGGAGAGUUUAUUCCUGAAACAUGGCAUUCAUACCAGAAUGCCUUUUUCUGGAUCACUUGAAAUCUGGCUUGGUUGAAACAUGGCUGAACCCACUGUCAUGCCCCGUGCUAGAUGUAGGGGAAAUACAGACGCAGUGGAGCGUGGUUCCUGUCCAAAGCACACUGUCAGAUGAGGGGCUCUUCACCUCUGGUCUUUACCUUGAAGGAACUGCAUUCACCAAAACCACCAGUGACAUUCUCCUGGCAAAAUUCCAGUGGCCUCAUCCCUUUUUCUAAACCCUGGGCCUCUUGGCACUUCUGCUGAGGUGGCCAGUCUCCUUGUGACAUCUCUCCACUGUGGUCACCGGGGGUGUUUUGCACCCUCGGUCAGUGCUCACGUCAUGAUCCACUGAGCACCAAGCAAUCCUCCUGCCUCUUCAGACAUCUAUGUCUCACCACGCAUCUAGCUGGCCCCAGUGGGGUGAGUCAGGACCUGAGGGUUUCUUUCUCCACCAUUCUGUCUCCACAAGUGUCCGUUGGCCUAUGCCGAAUGCCCUUGCCCCACAGAGCACCACUGCUGCCCCUCACCUACAGCUCCUGAAGAGUCAAUGUUCUCUGCAGAGCAGGCCUCUCAACACUCAGCUCUGGCCCUACCAUAGCUUCCUUUACCUGGAUGCCACUGCCUGACCCACUCACCUCUGAGGGCCACCUGAAGUUAAUGUUCAUAGGACGUGUAGGAUCUAUGGGGACUUUGAAAACUAUUUGCUAGUCAAACUGAACGUUGUUUUUAAAAUUUGUUGUAUAAAACAAUGGAUUCCAUUAUUGAUUUUUAUGUAUAUUAUUUACCUCAAAUGCUCCUUCUGCCUUCACAUGAUCACGAGUGUUUGCUUGUGUGUGCAUUCUACAUAUGAUUUAAAAACACAUGGUGUUUUGUCUCUCUUCCUUCUCCGCAUCAUCCUAUCCUGUUCAUUCCCUUUAAAAAUCUUCCUUCUUCUCACAGUAUCCCUCUACUUCCAACCAUAGAUAGUUAUUAAUAUUACCUAGAUGAGCUAUGAAAGAAAAUCAUCUUUCUGAGUCUGUUUUUUUAAAUAUGAUACUCUACAGCUCCACUCACUGAAUUUUAUUCUGCUUUCUGGUUGAAUAAACUGUCGUUAUACACAUACACAUACACAUAUACAUACACAUAUGCAGAUGCCACUCUUUCAGGGCUACUCAUCGGUUUGUGGGUGUUGAGGCUGCUCCAUACGGAGGCUAGUGUGAAUAGCACUGUAGUCAAUAUGGAAGUGGUGCCCUGGUGUUCUUCAUGUAUAUUUCUAGGGCUGUGCUAUAGCAAAGUCACAUAGGCAGUAGUUCUAUUUUAAGAACUUUAAGAAUUUUUUUCUUCUAAUUAAUUUCUGUACUGAUUUUUCAUAGUGACUGGACUGAUUUGUAUUUCCACUAUCCAUGUAAAAGCUCUCCCUUCCAAUAUAUCCUCACCAGCACUUGUUAUUAUUUUCUUGAUAAUAAUAGGCAUUCUGGCUAGGGCAAGACUCUAUUUUUUUGUAGUAUGGAAUUGAAAACAAGCAAAACAUGCCAUUUAUAGUGUUCUGAUUUUCUCCCUCUUUCCCUCUCUCUUUCCUUCCCUCUCUCCUUCCCUUCCUCCCUUCUUUGCUUUCCCCUCCGUCUCCAUCCCUUCCUUCUUUCCCUCAAUUUGAACUGACAAAUAAAAACUGUACAUUUUUAUUGUUUAGUAAACUUUCCAUAUCUGUGACAAAACAUGUGAUCCAAUUAACUUAAAAGGAGGACAAUCUUGCUUUGGAUUGUGAGUUAAUCCAUAGCUCCCAGCCCCGUUCCUUUGGUUCUGAGAUGGCAAAGCGUGUCGUGUCAAAGGUAUGUAGAGAGAAGGCUGCCCCAUCACAGCAGCUGGGAAGCAAGAGAGACAGAGUUCUGUGCCAAUAGCCCCUUAGUGUGCUAACUACAAUUGGCCCAACUUCUCUCCACUAGACCCCACCUUCUAAGGUCCUACUACUGUUCAAUAGAUGAUGACCACGCCUUUGGGGGGCAUUCCAAACCACAGCAUUAGAAGGCUGGAUUAAACUGUGUAAUCUGCAUUUCCUCAUUUAUGUAUCUACUUAGCAAGUAAUUUUCAAGUGCAUAAUUUAUUGUCUUUAUUUGUAGUCACAAUGAGGGCCCACAAAUUUGCUCUUCUUUUCUGACUGACAUUUUGUGUCGUUUAACUAACUUCUCCCCAAUUCCUCCCCUCCCAGGGCCCCAGUCUCUGGUAACCAUUCCACUCUUUGCUUCUAAGUUGGAUGUCUUUAGAUUUCACAUACAAUGAGGUUCUUCAGUGGUGUCUUUCUGUGCCUGGUCUGUUUCACAUUGUGGCUUCCAUAUUCCCUGUUGUUACAAACAGCAGGACUUUUCUUAUGAGCCUGCCUUGUAAUACUUGAUUUGCAUACCAUUAACCAUAUUUAUCAUUCUGUACAUAGGACACCAGAAAACCCUUUUUUUCCCUGUCUAUCUGAAAUUCUGUAUCUAUUGGCCUACCUUUCUUUCCCCCUGAACCUUUAUAUCCACCAUCUGGUAUUUGUUUCUAAGAGUGUGAAAUUUAUCUUUCUGUCCCUGGGCAUUUGUUUUAACAUAAUGUCCCCCAGAUUCACCCAUAUCAUCACAAAUGGCCAGAUUUCUUUCCCCUUGAAGGCUAUAUACUAUUCUAUUGUGCAUGUUCACUGCUUUCUUUAUCUAGUCCUUUCUAUUGGUGGACAUAUAAUUUGAUUCCACAUCUUGGUUAUUGAGAGUGGUUCUAAAAAAAAAAAUCACAGGAGUACAGCUAUGUCUUUGACGUGUUCAUUUAAAUUUUGGACAUAUAUUGAGUAAUAGAACUGUUGAUGCUUUAUCUACUUUAAUUUCUUUUUUGAGGAUUCCCACCCUAUUUUCCACAGUGGUUGUAUUAAUUUAACUUCCCAUUGUCAGUGGACCAAGGCUU